rnacentral:rRNA from 1 species
CACGUAGGGGGCAAGCGUUGUCCGGAUUUAUUGGGCGUAAAGAGCUCGUAGGCGGCUUAGUAAGUCGGGUGUGAAACCUCCAGGCUCAACCUGGAGACGCCACCCGAUACUGCUGUGGCUAGAGUCCGGUAGGGGAGCGUGGAAUUCCUGGUGUAGCGGUGAAAUGCGCAGAUAUCAGGAGGAACACCAACGGCGAAGGCAGCACUCUGGGCCGGUACUGACGCUGAGGAGCGAAAGCGUGGGGAGCAAACAGG